AGACUUUAUAAACUUAUUUCUUUUUUUUUUUAAUCCACCUCCUUACAUAAGGUAACAAAAAUGGAAAAUAGAUUUCUUUUCUUUUCCUUUAUUUAAUUUGUUUUCAUUCCAUUGCACAAUUAAGGAACCAAAAAAAGACUAAAUGAUAUUUGGACAUAAAAUCUAUUCUUGAAUCUAUGCAAACAGAAAUUAGAUAUUUCACAAAAUCUACAUAA
rnacentral:misc_RNA from 1 species